AACGAACGCUGGCGGCAGGCCUAACACAUGCAAGUCGAACGCACCGCAAGGUGAGUGGCGCACGGGUGAGUAACACGUGGGAAUGUACCCUUUGGUUCGGAAUAACGUCUGGAAACGGACGCUAAUACCGGAUGAGCCCUGCGGGGGAAAGAUUUAUCGCUAAAGGAGCAGCCCGCGUCUGAUUAGCUAGUUGGUGGGGUAAAGGCCUACCAAGGCGACGAUCAGUAGCUGGUCUGAGAGGAUGAUCAGCCACACUGGGACUGAGACACGGCCCAGACUCCUACGGGAGGCAGCAGUGGGGAAUAUUGGACAAUGGGCGAAAGCCUGAUCCAGCCAUGCCGCGUGAGUGAUGAAGGCCUUCGGGUUGUAAAGCUCUUUCGCACGCGACGAUGAUGACGGUAGCGUGAGAAGAAGCCCCGGCUAACUUCGUGCCAGCCGCCGCAGUAAAAC
rnacentral:rRNA from 1 species